UACGGAGGGAGCUAGCGUUGUUCGGAAUUACUGGGCGUAAAGCGCGCGUAGGCGGUCCAUCAAGUCAGAGGUGAAAGCCCGGGGCUCAACCCGGACUGCCUUUGAAACUGGCGGACUAGAAUCUUGGAGAGGUCAGUGGAAUUCCGAGUGUAGAAGUGAAAUUCGUAGAUAUUCGGAAGAACACCAGUGGCGAAGGCGACUGACUGGACAAGUAUUGACGCUGAGGUGCGAAAGCGUGGGGAGCAAACAGGAUUAGAAACCCGAGUAGU
rnacentral:rRNA from 1 species